GAGUUUGAUCAUGGCUCAGGAUGAACGCUAGCGGCAGGCUUAACACAUGCAAGUCGAGGGGUAACAGGGAUUGCUUGCAAUCCGCUGACGACCGGCGCACGGGUGCGUAACGCGUAUGCAACCUACCUUUUACAAGGGGAUAGCCCAGAGAAAUUUGGAAUAAUACCCUAUACGAUCAUUAAUUGGCAUCAAUUAAUGAAGAAAACUCCGGUGGUAAAAGAUGGGCAUGCGUCCUAUUAGUUAGUUGGUAAGGUAACGGCUUACCAAGACUCCGAUAGGUAGGGGUCCUGAGAGGGAGAUCCCCCACACUGGUACUGAGACACGGACCAGACUCCUACGGGAGGCAGCAGUGAGGAAUAUUGGACAAUGGAGGCAACUCUGAUCCAGCCAUGCCGCGUGCAGGAAGACGGCCCUACGGGUUGUAAACUGCUUUUAUACAGGAAGAACUAUAUCUACGUGUAGAUAUUUGACGGUACUGUACGAAUAAGGAUCGGCUAACUCCGUGCCAGCAGCCGCGGUAAUACGGAGGAUCCAAGCGUUAUCCGGAAUCAUUGGGUUUAAAGGGUCCGUAGGCGGUCUAAUAAGUCAGAGGUGAAAUCCUACAGCUCAACUGUAGCAUUGCCUUUGAUACUGUUAGACUUGAGUUAUUGUGAAGUAGUUAGAAUGUGUAGUGUAGCGGUGAAAUGCAUAGAUAUUACACAGAAUACCGAUUGCGAAGGCAGAUUACUAACAAUAUACUGACGCUGAGGGACGAAAGCGUGGGUAGCGAACAGGAUUAGAUACCCUGGUAGUCCACGCCGUAAACGAUGGAUACUAGCUGUUCGAUCAACAUUGGUUGGUUGAGUGGCUAAGCGAAAGUGAUAAG
rnacentral:rRNA from 1 species